rnacentral:rRNA from 1 species
UACGUAGGGUGCGAGCGUUAAUCGGAAUUACUGGGCGUAAAGCGUGCGCAGGCGGUUCGUUGUGUCGGCGGUGAAAUCCCCGGGCUCAACCUGGGAAUGGCCGUUGAAACUGGCGAACUGGAGUGUGGCAGAGGGGGGUGGAAUUCCGCGUGUAGCAGUGAAAUGCGUAGAGAUGCGGAGGAACACCGAUGGCGAAGGCAGCCCCCUGGGCUGACACCGACGCUCAGGCACGAAAGCGUGGGGAGCAAACAGG